GACGAACGCUGGCGGCGUGCUUAACACAUGCAAGUCGAACGAAGAGCGAUGGAAGCUUGCUUCUAUCAAUCUUAGUGGCGAACGGGUGAGUAACGCGUAAUCAACCUGCCCUUCAGAGGGGGACAACAGUUGGAAACGACUGCUAAUACCGCAUACGAUCUGACCUCGGCAUCGAGGAUAGAUGAAAGGUGGCCUCUAUUUAUAAGCUAUCACUGAAGGAGGGGAUUGCGUCUGAUUAGCUAGUUGGAGGGGUAACGGCCCACCAAGGCGAUGAUCAGUAGCCGGUCUGAGAGGAUGAACGGCCACAUUGGGAGUGAGACACGGCCCAGACUCCUACGGGAGGCAGCAGUGGGGAAUCUUCCGCAAUGGACGAAAGUCUGACGGAGCAACGCCGCGUGAGUGAUGACGGCCUUCGGGUUGUAAAGCUCUGUUAAUCGGGACGAAAGG
rnacentral:rRNA from 1 species